rnacentral:Y_RNA from 1 species
UGCUAGUCCAAGUGCAGUGGUAUUUACAAGUAAUUGAUCACAAGCAGUUACAGGUUUUGUUCCUUCUCCACUUCCACUGCUUCACUUGACUAGCCUAAA